rnacentral:tRNA from 1 species
GGGUGCGUGGCUCAGUGGUAGAGCAUCGUCCUGAUAAGACGGGGGUCGAAGGUUCGAUUCCUUCCGCACCCACAA